rnacentral:rRNA from 1 species
GAAAGCGUAACAGCUCACUGGUCUAGCGAUUCUGCGCCGAAAAUAUAACGGGGCUAAAAUAGACACCGAAGCUGUAGAUUCACACAAUGGUGUGAGUGGUAGGAGGGCGUCCUAGUCAGCAUUGAAGCCAUACCGGCAAGGAGUGGUGGAGCGGCUAGAAGUGAGCAUGCAGGCAUGAGUAGCGAUAAAACAGGUGAGAAUCCUGUUCGCCGAAAACCCAAGGUUUCCUACACGAUGCUCGUCAAUGUAGGGUUAGUCGGGUCCUAAGUCGAGUCCGAAAGGGGGUAGACGAUGGCAAAUUGGUUAAUAUUCCAAUACCAACUAUAGCGCGCGAUGGGGGGACGCAUAGGGUUAAACGAGCUCACUGAUGGAAUAGUGGGUCGAAGGGUGUAGGUAAGCUGGAUAGGAAAAUCCGCCGGCUGUUUCCGAGACCUCACAGGCUGAUGACGCCCUUCGGGGAAGAUUCAGAAUCGUUGAUACCGUCG